rnacentral:rRNA from 1 species
UACGGAGGGUGCGAGCGUUGUCCGGAAUCACUGGGCGUAAAGGGCGCGUAGGUGGCCUGUGGAAGUCUGCGGUGAAAGCCCGGCGCUCAACGCCGGGUCGGCCGUCGAUACUUCCGGGCUUGAGCACUGUAGAGGCAGAUGGAAUUCCGGGUGUAGCGGUGGAAUGCGUAGAGAUCCGGAAGAACACCGGUGGCGAAGGCGGCUCACUGGCUCGUAACUGACGCUCAUGCACGACAGCGUGGGGAUCAAACAGG